rnacentral:tRNA from 1 species
GGAGGGGUGUCUGAGUGGUCUAAAGAGACGGUCUUGAAAACCGUUGUUGCGCAAGCAACCGUGGGUUCGAAUCCCACCCCCUCCGCCA